rnacentral:rRNA from 1 species
AGAGGUGGCAAGCGUUGUUCGGAAUUACUGGGCGUAAAGGGCGCGUAGGCGGCCCGUCAAGUCCCGUGUGAAAGCCCCCGGCUCAACCGGGGAACGGCGCGGGAAACUAGCAGGCUUGAGUUCGGGAGAGGGAAGCGGAAUUCCGGGUGUAGCGGUGAAAUGCGCAGAUAUCCGGAGGAACACCGGUGGCGAAGGCGGCUUCCUGGACCGACACUGACGCUGAGGCGCGAAAGCUAGGGGAGCAAACGGGAUUAGAUACCCCGGUAGUCCUAGCCCUAAACGAUGAGCACUGGGUGUAGAGGGUAUGAACCCCUUCUGUGCCGAAGCUAACGCAUUAAGUGCUCCGCCUGGGGAGUACGGUCGCAAGGCUG